rnacentral:rRNA from 1 species
CUUUUACUUUUAUUAUAAAUUUAUAUACCGCUAUUUAAAGAACUAAUCUACCAAUUCUAUUCAAAAUAUAUACAUGCGAACUAAAAAAAUAAGUCAAGGUGUAAUUUAUAUUCAAGUAUAUUAUGGGUUACAAUAAAAAUUAUUUAUGGAUAAAUUUUUAAAAACAAAUUUUUAAAUAGGAUUUAUAAGUAUUUACUUCAAUAAUA